UACAGAGGUCCCAAGCGUUGUUCGGAUUCAUUGGGCGUAAAGGGUGUGUAGGUGGCGCCGUAAGUCGACUGUGAAAUCUCCGGGCUUAACCCGGAACGGUCAGCCGAUACUGCGGGGCUAGAGUGCAGAAGGGGCAACUGGAAUUCUCGGUGUAGCGGUGAAAUGCGUAGAUAUCGAGAGGAACACCUGCGGCGAAGGCGGGUUGCUGGGCUGACACUGACGCUGAGGCGCGAAAGCGUGGGGAGCAAACAGG
rnacentral:rRNA from 1 species